AAGACAUCAUCCUCUUCUACAAUCUCCAUCUGUAAUUGGACUAACAACUGGACCAGUGAAUGCAGGUCACACCAUGGUCUCAAGAGGGAAAAUGAGUGCUCUAUGGAUUGAACAGAAAAGGUGAAUCAAAACUCCAACCAUCUGUAUGAGGGUCUGGAUGGAUAAAGGAUGCCCACUGGAGCUGGAAAUGAUGGAUC